rnacentral:rRNA from 1 species
UACGGAGGGAGCUAGCGUUGUUCGGAAUUACUGGGCGUAAAGCGCGCGUAGGCGGCUUUGUAAGUUAGAGGUGAAAGCCCGGGGCUCAACCCCGGAACUGCCUUUAAAACUGCAUCGCUUGAAUCCGGGAGAGGUGAGUGGAAUUCCGAGUGUAGAGGUGAAAUUCGUAGAUAUUCGGAAGAACACCAGUGGCGAAGGCGGCUCACUGGACCGGUAUUGACGCUGAGGUGCGAAAGCGUGGGGAGGCAAACAGG